rnacentral:rRNA from 1 species
GAUGAACGCUGGCGGCGUGCCUAAUACAUGCAAGUCGAGCGAACAGACGAGGAGCUUGCUCCUUUGACGUUAGCGGCGGACGGGUGAGUAACACGUAGGUAACCUACCUAUAAGACUGGGAUAACUUCGGGAAACCGGAGCUAAUACCGGAUAAUAUUUCGAACCGCAUGGUUCGAUAGUGAAAGAUGGCUUUGCUAUCACUUAUAGAUGGACCUGCGCCGUAUUAGCUAGUUGGUAAGGUAACGGCUUACCAAGGCAACGAUACGUAGCCGACCUGAGAGGGUGAGCGGCCACACUGGAACUGAGACACGGUCCAGACUCCUACGGGAGGCAGCAGUAGGGAAUCUUCCGCAAUGGGCGAAAGCCUGACGGAGCAACGCCGCGUGAGUGAUGAAGGUCUUCGGAUCGUAAAACUCUGUUAUUAGGGAAGAACAAACGUGUAAGUAACUGUGCACGUCUUGACGGUACCUAAUCAGAAAGCCACGGCUAACUACGUG